GUCGAUCUGAGCGCGCCUAUUGGCUGCAGAGCAUUCCGCGCUCUCUCUCGCCGAGCGAAAGAGGCCGAAUCUCCGUAGAAGGAGGAGGGAAGUAAAAUCCCACCGCACACCCAGAAGGAGAGGAGGAUGGGCAGAUUGGUGAACACACUUGCUGUUUCUGGAAUGCCAUUCUUUGAUUGGCAUCCAGGGGUUCUAUAUUUUCAAACCUCUCAAGUGUCAGCCUAUUCAUAGGGCAUAAAAUAAAUCAGCAAAGCUCAAGCAGUUAAUUU